rnacentral:rRNA from 1 species
GGCGGCGUGCCUAAUACAUGCAAGUCGAGCGGAUUGAUGGGAGCUUGCUCCCUGAUAUCAGCGGCGGACGGGUGAGUAACACGUGGGUAACCUGCCUGUAAGACUGGGAUAACUCCGGGAAACCGGGGCUAAUACCGGAUAACUCAUUUCCUCGCAUGAGGAAAUGUUGAAAGGUGGCUUUUAGCUAUCACUUACAGAUGGACCCGCGGCGCAUUAGCUAGUUGGUGAGGUAACGGCUCACCAAGGCGACGAUGCGUAGCCGACCUGAGAGGGUGAUCGGCCACACUGGGACUGAGACACGGCCCAGACUCCUACGGGAGGCAGCAGUAGGGAAUCUUCCGCAAUGGACGAAAGUCUGACGGAGCAACGCCGCGUGAGUGAUGAAGGUUUUCGGAUCGUAAAGCUCUGUUGUUAGGGAAGAACAAGUGCCGUUCGAAUAGGGCGGCACCUUGACGGUACCUAACCAGAAAGCCACGGCUAACUACGU